rnacentral:lncRNA from 1 species
UUAUAGAGGAAUCGGUGAUGAAUCAAAUAGUGUAUGUACAUGAUUUAUAAGUUACUAGAUUAAAGAUUUAAAGUAUUUCACAUGUUAUAGAUGACAUGAUCAUUUUUUUAAUUAAUAUGAGAUGAUAUGGACUUAGUGGAGAAUGAUGUAGACACCUUGUAUGAAGAGAUAAAAUAUUUAGUGGGUUGAGGAAUGAUGUAGAUACCUUGCAUGAAGAGAGAAUUUAUCUAGUGGGGUUUAGUUUUAUAAAAAUAUAUGAUGAUAUGAUAUAUUUUACAAUAAAAAAAAUAUUUUGUUGCGACUCACAAUAAAAAAAAUGUUGGUCAAUGUCCGAGAGACUCGUUCACAGUGGUUUCCCACUAGCCUUGUUUAGUUCCGAAAAGUGAAAAGUUUUCGGUACUGUAGCACUUUCGUUUGUUUGUG